AUGAAAUUUUCAAGCGAUUUAUAGAGCAUGUUAGGCGGAGUACUAGAUUAUUUGUAAUAAGCUGGAAUAGUUAGCGUUCAACUAACUUCUAUUUCUGCCAAACAGAUAAAGAUGUUGUUAUUUGCCAACAGAGUGAAAGCCUACUCAAUUGGUUCUUCUAGUACUUCAAUAUUAAGGCUUAUUUUUAACAUUUCGUUAUAAAGUCUCUGCAACUACUUUUAAACAACUUAUCGUUUGGAUUCAAAUCAAGCAUGAAGCAUUUUUCACUUUUCAACUCUAGGUACGCUACCUGUCGCUCAAGAAGCCCCCAACGAUGGACGUAACUAACUUUUUCUCGUAUCUCUUCACCGACGAUGCUCUGAUGGGCUACAACUACUCCGGAACCAACAACAUUGGCGAUUCGAAGAUGCCGAUGAGGAACUAUGAAAUUUUCAUCGAUUGUAUGAUAGAAGCAUGGGCUGAUCAUGGAUUGACGCACAUACUGCUCGAGGAGAAGAUCAAACUUGUGGUGCGAAAGCUUACCGCUCGACGUCGCAUGCAGAAGUUUCGGCAGAGAAAAUCAAUGAAAGUUUAGGACUUGUUAAAUAAACUUGAACUGUUUAAAGAACGUUGUAUAUUUUGUUAAUGACUUAAAGUUGAUAAUUAAUAUAUGAUAAUGUUAACAAUUUCUUACUAUGGAUUUCAGAUCCGUUGAAACCACGAAAAAAGGUGUUCACGAGGACGGUAGAACUGGAUGAGUGUGCUGCCGCAGAUGACGAACAGCGCUACAUGUUCAUCGUGAGUCGAAAGGGAGGUAUUCUGUUGGUGCACGAAAACCACAUAUAUCGAUCCAAUAUGCGACGUCAGGGUCCCCACAAGAACAUACUGUACUGGGAGUGUGUACACAAUCGUUCGCAGAAGUGCCGUGGGCGACUCAAGAGCGAAGGGAAUUUCCUGUUCAUUUCGAACACCAAUGGCGAGUAUUGCGUUGACGGUUGGCUUAUGAAUUUGAAUAACUAAGCAAUUGUUUUCUAAUUGUAGCCACGCACAAUCAUCCUUCAGAUUUGAAUCGAAUCAACCGAGCUAAGGUCGGAGGAGAGCUGACAUACCGCACAUUCUUUUCAUUGUUCAAAUGACAUGUUUCGUUGUUGAUAUGUAACUGUUUUCAAUUAAAUUUCAAUAGGUAAUGUCGAUGAAUCUAGUACUAUAACAUCCAUACUAAUUUUCGAUAUUGUUGACACGUUUUCGUCGUUUUAUUCUAGUACUGCACAUGCUCGUCAUUCACCGUUGGAAGAACUGUUCAACUAUGAUGAAAGUUGAACCAACUAAUUUUAUCAACGUCUUGUAACUAUACUUCCAGUUCAGGAAACGUCCCCGACAUUCGAUGCGCCACAGUAUGUCAUUAGCAAGUGUGGAACCGUUCAGCUUCGGCACAAUGGUCAUCUUUUCAAUCGACACGUCAAACGAGACGAUAUCACAUACUGGCGCUGCUCGCAGUUUACCGUGUACAAGUGUCGCGCUCGGAUUAAGUCCGUACUCGAAGAGUUUCUCAUGUUGAACGUGGAACAUAACCACCAGGUAGUGGCCUCACCCAGAGCGUACGGAUCUUUAAAGCGAUUGAAACAACAACUAGCAAGAUAUUAAUAAACUACACUCGUCUUUGGAAUUCAAUCUGGUAUUUCACUUUAUUAAAUUUAGGAAUUCUCGUACACCAAGUUUUGCAUUGAUCUAAUGAUUCCAACCCAUAUUUCAGAUGUCUAUGUCCGAUACGUUUCCGGAUUUCGAGGAAGUCGCAAGCUAAAAGUAGGAGAGUUCAGCUACACCAAGAACAAGGAAAGUGCAAACAAAACGUACUGGUCUUGUGCGAGGGCAGGCAUGAGCAAAUGUAAAGCACGGCUUCUAACCUACACACUGCGAAAUGAGGUAGAAAACUUGGUGGUUCGAUACCCAACACACAACAAUGACCCAUUCUAGUACUGCAAUGUUAUAUCAUACUCUGUAAAUAAAACAUUAUUGAAUAGUGGAAGCUAUGGACUUUUCAUCUAUGUCGUAAAUCUUUAUUACAUUGAAGCAUGGCUAAUUGGUUCGUUUCGAUUCCAUUUUAGUGUUUAAAAUUGUUAACAUUGAAGAAGUGGAAGAUGAUCAACCCAAGGAAAUAUACUUCACCGUCGGGCAACGUGGUUGCGUUUUGCUGCACGUUGAUGGCUAUAAAUUCGUAAAGAAUCGUAAGGGGGCAUACAAAACCUAUUGGAUCUGCGCUAAAAAGGGAAGUACAGCCUGCAAAGCUAGAGUCAUCACCCCGGCAAACAGUGAGGAGAAAAAGGUUCCCACGCUGAUAGCCCGCAGCGGAACACAUAAUCACCCUGUAUUCGUAGAGCGAAAAUCCCGCAGUUCUGCUACACAUAGGAUUUUACUUUUCGAAGACCCAUAGUUAAAUAAAUUUAUCUCAACUGAAACUUUGUGUAUCGUGCAUUCGUUUUGAAUCCUAAAGAGUGUCGUUUUUGCAUUAGUUUUGGAUUAAAGGAUUUCUAUUUUCCUUUAUAGAUGGCAACGACGUUGACCAGAUUUACUUCAUUGCAGAGAUCAUCGGUUCUGCAGAGGGAAUGAAAACUGUGAAAAUACCCGCAAAGAAGCAAUGUAGAUCCAAAUCCGCAACGAUGCCUUCGGCAAACAAUGAAAUGUUCCAUUUUGAAAGCGAUGGUUCACCUUCGAAGCCCACCUAUACAACCGGCCGGGGGAAUAACGUUCUGAAUUACCAGGGCCACCGCUACAUCAAGAACAAUGCGCACAGCGGGAAAAUUUACUGGAAGUGUACCAAAUGGCACAGUGGGUGCAAAGGACGUGCCAUUACCAACGUGCUGAUUCCGGGCUUGGUUGUUCUGAAGAAUACGCACAACCACGAACCAUCGUAAUUUCAUCAACGGCGGUUUUGAUCUUAGCCAAAUAAAAAUGAACAGAAAAUAUCGUCCUUCCUCAUAUUUUCCAACCGUGAUUUUUAAGUAAUAUUUGUUUAGUUAUCUUGAGUUCAUAAGUUUCCGCAAUACCAAUGGUUGAGAAGUCAGUUUCUUUAUGAACUUUAAAGUUUCUUGAGAACCUCUUGUUGAAAAAAUCGCCGCAAACACAGUUUCAAUGAUCUUUUAAUUUAUUGUUUAAAACUAGUACUACGUGAAACGGUGAUGAAUCGUCAUGUAGCAAAAACCCCAGUAAAAUAGUGAUAAUUUGCGCUGCAAUCGUUUUAUGAGUUUCCAUUUCACGUAGUCUCUAAUGUUUAUCCAAUCUAGUACUAUAUCGAAUAAUGCAUCAACUCUUAUACAGUUUAGCGCCCUUUCAUACCAACUUUAUGCACUAGUUCCAAUCGCAAUCACUUCUUGCAUCGCCUAAUUUUAGCCGUGAAACAUCCAGUCAAAGCGAUUGGUACUUGGUUGUGGAUAACGGAAUAACAACAUGCAGUACUGGACGCGCAAUUAGUACUACAAAUGCAAGCUUAGUUGUGACCGACGAAAUCAAUCUAUCACCAUGAGACGUCAUCGGGCGUCGUCGGAGGCAGUAGUAGUAGUAAUUAACUGGCCCACGGUACCACGACAGGUGAAAUUCCUUAACAAUACCUUCCUCAGAAGAAGCAGCAGACCAUUGGCUGUCACAGGAUUCUUCGAACAAUCUGUACAGUCUAGAUCAUGAUCAAACAAGAGAUAAUAAAACUGUUGUUUUGAGCUAUUAUUGUUCGUUAAGUUUUGUAAUACAUGAUUACUCUAGUACUUAACAGUAAUUCCUUCAAAACAUGACGUUCUAUCAUUUUCCACAGAAUCCUUCGCCAGGAGGGAGAUUUAUGAACGGUUUUUGCUUCCGAAAGCCGGAAUGGAAGUGGCCCGGUUCGGGAUCAGCCAACGAGGAGCGAAGAAACUGAUCUGCCAUGGAUACGAGUACGUCAAGGACCGAGACUUUCCGGAUUCGACCAAUUGGCGCUGUGCUUUGUUCCGUCGGCAGAAGUGUCGCGCCCGUGCCAUUACCAAAAUCAUUGACGGUAUCACCUACGUAAGGCUUACGAACGAUGCCCACAGCCACGAUGUCCGGAUGUACCGGAGGAAUCCAGUGAUUAUUACGAAAGCGGACGAAAUGGAGUCUGCAUAAGAAAGAAAGUAGUUUCUUUGUUGAAUUAUUGUGAGAAAAAUAUACGUAUAUCAGAAUGGGUUCAUUGUCCUGUUUAAACUAUGUUUCCUUUAGUGGUUCCAAUGACGUACUAGAUUACUACUGCACUAAUACGAACUAUUCGCAUUUUUAGGUGUUUUCGAACCGGCUGUAUUCGGAACUACUCGUCGUGGUCAACAGAAACUAAUACACAAUGGGCAUGCGUACACCAAGGAUCGACAGUCGGCGAAGACUUGCAACUGGAAAUGUUCCCUCUUUACGCGGUACAAGUGUAAGGCUCGUGCCGUUACGCGGGACAUCAAUGGCGUGGUGUACGUGAAAGUCACCAACACGUUACACUACCACCCGGUGGAGCAGUACAAGAUCAACUACCGAAGGCUGGCCGUCAACCCAAUGAGUUUGGCGAACACUUUUAUCCCGCAUGUCAAGGAUGAGUCGUUUUGAGAUGUGCAUGUAUUAGUUAUAAGCAAGAGUAGGGUUUCUCGUCGCAAAUAAAUUGUGCUUUAGUGUUAUUCUAGUACUUCAGUAGAUAUAUUCACCUUGAUGACGUUAGAUGACCUCCGAUGACAAAUUAUUAUUUACCAGGAGUAGAAAUGAUUCUACUGUAGUUCUAGUACGUCAUUGUCAUACACUAAACUAUUCUGUACUUUUAGAUGACAAAGCUGUUUUCACCGAGCGAGCCCUGUACGAGUACACCUCCCGAGGAACGCAGCGCUUGCUUCAUGGCGGGUAUUACUUUAGCAAAAACAAAACCAACGAAUCGAGCGGACGGGUGAACUGGAAGUGCCAAUUUUACCAACGGCUGCGCUGCAAAGCAAGGGCCAUCACGAAAAAUAUCAACGGAAACGAAUACGUGCGCGUCACUCACGAAGAGCACACCCAUCGCCAGGAUCUCACCGAGGAUGAGUUCCGUCGGCCCAAACGGAAAAGAGAUUUCUGAGUUAAGAAGUUUGGGAAAGUAACUGCGACACAAUCAUUUAAUGUAGAAUUGCAUGCCAAUGAGUUUUAAUAAAAACUUAUUUAUUCUUCAUUGUAUGAAAUUACUCUCCGUAAUGGUGUUGUUCUAGUACCUCGUUUUUAGUAAUAGCCUAAUAGUUUAGAACGACCUCAUCAAAUUAUUAUUUUCUUGUUCACUGAGGAGUAACUUGAGCUAUUACCAAUUUAAAUUUAUUUUCAGGCUGUUUCAGCUUGAAAAAAAAAGAAAUGCAUCGAAGCGAUUGUGUAAAUCUAGUACUUCAAUAGAAAAAAAAACCUUAUAACUGCCGAAAGAACCCAUUUGCUCAAAAGAAGAUGACAUUCUAAUCCAUAUUUUAUCAUAUUUACAUUACUCUAACCUAUUCAUAAUGUUUCAUCCAACCUUUCCCAAACAGUUAAACUAAAAAUUGUUCAAUAUUCGACACGCAAAUCGGACGAGCACUACGACAAUGAUGAUGAAGACGACGGAGAGGAUGACGAAGCGAAGACCCAAUUCCCGUUGGACCUGAAGAUGGUGGUAGGCCGCAAGGGACGCCCAAUGCUGCUGAUGGGUGGCCACGCCUUUUUCCGCAACAAUACCCACAAGAGCAAAACCUACUGGCUGUGUGCCAAAAGCCGUUCGCUGAAGUGUCGCGCCCGAAUCAUUACCCUGGACGGCAGUGCCGGACUGAUCCUCAAGAAUCAGGUCCAUAAUCAUCCAGCGGCGUUGGAAAGGUCCUAGGCGAUGAUAAGAGUUAUCGAGUUCGUGUUGUGACAUAACGUUCCGGUACUUGAACAAAAUUUUGGUUUUCUCUACAUAAUACGUUGUGUAGGCCAGUGUUGGGAAUACUCACUUGUAAGAGUGAUAAUUACUUGCUUCUAUCUCAGUCCAGAAGCAUACUUUCAAAAAAUAAUGUUUGAAGGGCUUUUAGAUUGUAGUUGAAUCUAAAAGUUUGCCGAAUAAAGUAAAGGACGCAGACGCAUACCAAAAUUGUGAGAGAGCUGUGA